GUGGGGAAUAUUGGACAAUGGGCGCAAGCCUGAUCCAGCCAUGCCGCGUGAGUGAUGAAGGCCUUAGGGUUGUAAAGCUCUUUCAGUGGGGACGAUAAUGACGGUACCCACAGAAGAAGCCCCGGCUAACUUCGUGCCAGCAGCCGCGGUAAUACGAAGGGGGCUAGCGUUGUUCGGAUUUACUGGGCGUAAAGCGCACGUAGGCGGAUCGUUAAGUCGGGGGUGAAAUCCUGGAGCUCACCUCCAGAACUGCCUUCGAUACUGGCGAUCUUGAGUCCGGAAGAGGUGAGUGGAACUCCUAGUGUAGAGGUGGAAGUCGUAGAUAUUAGGAGGAACACCAGUGGCGAAGGCGGCUCACUGGCUCGAUACUGACGCUGAGGUGCGAAAGCGUGGGGAGCAAACAGGAUUAGAUACCCCAGUAGUCC
rnacentral:rRNA from 1 species